CUCCAAUCAGCUUAAAGUCCUUGCAAAGAAAGAAAUUGUGCCCUGUCUCUCAGCGUCGACCAUAGCAGAGAGCCUGGGACAUGAAUGGGUGUCAUUAUUUAUCUGCUGAACAAAUAGGUGGGGAGAUGGAAGCACAGUAUGAGGUGAAGCAAGCUUGCUUGAGAUUAUAUUAAGAAGAAGACCUCAGACUCAAUUCAGGUAGUCUGACUCUAGAAUUCAGCUCCUAAUCGCUCUCUUCUAGAGACUCCUGGGCAGAAUUUGAACUGACAAUUCUACAAGACUGCAGAGCAGUAGCAAAAUUUCAGGAGCAAUCCUAGCUAAUAGCCCUGCAUUUGUAUCUCAGUUAGUAAACUCAUGAAUUUGAGGAUGCUCAAAUGAUCCGGGGGAAGUCGAUGGGCCUAUGAACAUAAAAGAAAAGGCUUCAGCACUUUGGUAAAUU
rnacentral:lncRNA from 1 species